CCCCAGUAACGGCGAGUGAAGCGGCAACAGCUCAAAUUUGAAAUCUGGCCCCCCCCCGGGGGGCCCGAGUUGUAAUUUGCAGAGGAUGCUUUGGGCGAGGCGCCUUCCGAGUUCCCUGGAACGGGACGCCACAGAGGGUGAGAGCCCCGUCUGGUCGGACGCCGAGCCUCUGUAAAGCUCCUUCGACGAGUCGAGUAGUUUGGGAAUGCUGCUCAAAACGGGAGGUAUAUGUCUUCUAAAGCUAAAUACCGGCCAGAGACCGAUAGCGCACAAGUAGAGUGAUCGAAAGAUGAAAAGCACCUUGAAAAGGGGGUUAAACAGUACGUGAAAUUGUUGAAAGGGAAGCGCUCGUGACCAGACUUGGGGCGGGCGGAUCAGCCGGCGUUCUCGCCGGCGCACUCCGCCCGUCCCAGGCCAGCAUCAGUUCGCGCCGGGGGACAAAGGCGGCGGGAACGUGGCUCCCCAGGGAGUGUUAUAGCCCGCCGCGCCAUGCCCCGGGGGCGGACUGAGGGCCGCGCAUCACUGCAAGGAUGCUGGCGUAAUGGUCACCAGCGACCCGUCUUGAAACACGGGCCAAGGAGUCGUCCUCGUAUGCGAGUGUUCGGGUGUCAAACCCCUACGCGGAAUGAAAGUGAACGUGGGUGAGAGCUUCGGCGCAUCAUCGACCGAUCCUGAUGUUCUCGGAUGGAUUUGAGUAGGAGCAUACGGGGCCGGACCCGAAAGAAGGUGAACUAUGCCUGUGUAGGGUGAAGCCAGAGGAAACUCUGGUGGAGGCUCGCAGCGGUUCUGACGUGCAAAUCGAUCGUCAAACAUGGGCAUGGGGGCGAAAGACU
rnacentral:rRNA from 1 species